rnacentral:lncRNA from 1 species
UACUUCAUGAUGGUACAGGUACUUCAUGGGUAGUACAGGUACUUCAUGGGUAGUACAGAUACUUCAUGGAUAGUACAGAUACUUCAUGGAUGAUACAGUUACUUCAUGGGGAGUACAGGUACUUCAUGGGGAGUACAGGUACUUCAUGGAUAGAACAGGUACUUCAUGGAUGGUACAGGUACUUCACGGGUAGUACAGGUACUUCAUGGUUAGAACAGGUACUUCAUGGGUAGAACAGGUACUUCGUGGGUAGAACAGAUACUUCAUGGAUAGUACAGGUACUUCAUGGAUAGAACAGGUACUUCAUGCAUAGUACAGAUACUUCAUGGAUAGAACAGGUACUUCAUGGAUAGAACAGGUACUUCAUGCAUAGUACAGAUACUUCAUGGAUAGAACAGGUACUUCAUGCAUAGUACAGAUACUUCAUGCAUAGUACAGAUACUUCAUGGAUAGAACAGGUACUUCAUGCAUAGUACAGAUACUUCAUGGAUAGUACAGGUACUUCAUGCAUAGUACAGAUACUUCAUGGAUAGUACAGGUACUUCAUGGAUAGAACAGGUACUUCAUGGGUAGAACAGGUACUUCCUGGAUGGUACAGGUACUUCAUGGGUAGUAC